ACAUGUAUUUACAUUCGUACACGAUAUUUUUAAAAUGAUUGACCAGGUUAUACAAUUUGAACAUUUAAACGCGAGUCUCAAUUAUUUAUUGUGAUGAUGAGACAUAAUUUUUGGUUAUUCUACAUUAACGACGAGCUUACUCGCGUGGACCUAUAUCUGAUAAAACCAAGAAAUAAAACGAAAACAAUUUAUGUUUUACCUACCGUUAUUUUCACAAGAUAAAUGAUCGCAUCCCGGGGAUACAAAUUCACGCUACGAAACACUGAAUGCGUCUCAGUCGUUUGGUUUUAUUGAGUUUGUCCUUUAAAGGGACUGUCCAAUGGAUUAUUUUCCUGAAUUUAGCAGGCUAUUAUUUUGAUAUUAAUUAAUAACAUUCGUUAAUUUGAACCAUAUCCAACUCAACCUUUUGCUAAAAACUACAAAACUAAAGAGCAACAGCCAAAUUGUAUUACGACUUUUGCGUCUACCUUGGGAAAUCCCUUUCUAUUUGUAUUUCGCGCUUCGUGUCACGUGAUUCAGACACAAACAAACAAAAUGGCGGAGGCUUCGAAAUCUACAAUGAGCGAACCAGCCAAAACAGAGGGAGAGAUAAACGCGUGAGACAGCCAUCUAAAAGAAUGUUGUUGUAUUCUCAGGACACAUAUUCAGAUUCAAGUCUUCAGAAGAGUUAAGGAAAGCGUCCUGCCAGAAAGAUCCAGAAAGUUGAUACAUUAGCAACAAUAACUAAGGGCACACUGGAACGCCAUAGCACGUCUGACGAUGAGAUGACUAUCGGUGCUGGAUAGGAUGACCCUCUACAGUCAGCAGCAGUAUUGACAAGAUGUGUUUUCCUUUUAUGCAGAGACACUAGAAGAUGUCAAUAAAUCUUUCAGACAUGCUGCAUACAGACAAUUUACCAUCUUAAUGCAUGGGAAACCGACUGGUGGAGGCAGAAUAACUGUCCCAGCAUGUUGUGUUAAAUUAAUAAGGGAGAAGUUUCCUAGUCCUUAAGCCCAGUAUACAGGCUUCGUACCAGGUGAAGGCCCAGUGUUCUAAUAAUUUUGCAUAUUUAUGCCCCCCUUCGAAGAAGAAGGGGUAUAUAGUUUUGCACAUGUCGGUCCGUCCACCAGAUGGUUUCGGGAUGAUAACUUAAGAACGCUUAGGCCUAGGUUCAUGAAACUUCAUAGGUACAUUGAUCAUGACUGGCAAAUAACCCCUAUUGAUUUUCAGGUCACUAGGUCAAAGGUCAGUGACUCGAAACAGUAAAGCGGUUUCCGGAUGAUAACUCAAGAAUGCUUACGCCUAGGAUCUUGAAACUUCAUAGGUACAUUGAUCACGACUGGCAGAUGACCCCUUUAGAUUUUCCAGUCACACGGUCAAAGGUCACAGUGACUCAAAACAAUAAAAUGGUUUCCAGCUGAUAACUCUAGAAUGCUUACGCCUUUUGAUCAUGAAACUUCAUAGCUACAUUGAUAAUGACUGGCAGAUGACCCCUUUUGAUUUUCAGGUCACUAGGUCAAGGUCACAGUGACUCGAAAUAGUAAAAUGGUUUCCUGAUGAUAGCUCAAGAAUAAUUAGGCCAAGGAUCAAGGAACUUCAUAGGUACAUUGAUCAUGACUGACAGAUGACCCCUAUAUAUUUUCAGGUCACUAUGUCAAAGGUCAAGGUCACAGUGACAAAAAACGUACUCACACAAUGGCUGCCACUACAACUGACAGCCCAUAUGGGGGGGGGGGCAUGCAUGUUUUGCAAACAGCCCUUGUUGCUAUUCUCUUUCAUUUAUCAGACAUAGAACUUUUCUUAGUUUUGAUUAUUUUUUGUUCUGGCUCCUUUUUUGAAACAUUUAUAUUUAUGCAAAUCAUUUGAGUUAUGCUUAAUCAUUUGGAUUUUUCAGUUCUAUGCAUUUUGUUUUGAAAUACCAAUUUAUGUGAAAUGUGCUAGUUUAUUAUUAAAACUUGCACAGCAGUUUUUACAUGUGUAUGCUUACUUUGGUGUCAUUGAUGAAAUGCCACGAGUACUCUGGAUUGUAAGAUGAAAUAAAUAAAAGAAGCAAUGACAUAUUUCUUAAGAAUACUAUGUAAAUAAACUAAUUGAAUAUCAAAAUUCAUUUCUUGUAUACUUAUUUUAUUUUCUUGUUUGAACUUAAUAGUUUGAUUUUUACACUUUUUAGCUCACCUGAACACAAUGUGCUCAUGGUGAGCUUUUGUGAUCGCCUUUUGUCCGUUGUGCGGCGUCUACAUUUGCCUUGUUAACACUCUACAGAAGUACAGGCCACAUUUAUUGCCCAAUCUAAAUGAAAUUUGUCAAAAGAUUGGUCUCAAGGAUAUUUUGGAUGAGUUAAAAAAUGGUAACGUUUGCUUGAAAAGACCGUUCAUAAAAAACAGUCAAUAGUGUAUUACCUGUUUUUAUUUUUUAUAUCUUUUGCUUUUAUUCAAUUUUAAGUUUGCAUUUUGAAUUUUUUAUUAUGCCCCCCUUCGAAGAAGAGGAGGUAUGUUGUUCGCUCAUGUCGGUCGGUCGGUCCGUCCGUCCACCGAAUGGUUUCCGGAUUAUAACUCAAGAACGCUUACGCCUAGGAUCAUGAAACUUCAUAGGUACAUUGAUCAUGACUGGCAGAUGACCCCUAUUGAUUUUUAGGUCACUAGGUCAAAGGUCAAGGUUACAGUGACUCGCACAGAAAAAUGGUUUCCGGAUGAUAACUCAAGAACGCUUAAGCCUAGGAUCAUGAAACUAAAUAGGUACAUUGAUCAUGACUCGCAGAUGACCGCUAUUGAUUUUCAGGUCACUAGGUCAAGGUGACUCGACACAGUAAAAUAGUUUCCGGAUGAUAACUCAAGAAAGCUUACGCCUAGGAUCAUGAAACUUCAUAGGUUCAUUGAUCACGACUCGCAGAUGACCCCUAUUGAUUUCAGGUCACUAGGUCAAAGGUCACAGUGACAAAAAACGUAUCACACAAUGGCUGCAACUACAACUGACAGCCCAUAUGGGGGGCAUGCAUGUUUUACAAACAGCCCUUGUUUAUUUUUAUUUUGAGUCAUUUUGUUUCACACUUGAUAUUUUGUUAGAUUAGGUUUCUUAAAAUACAUUUCAAACAUGACAUAUGCUAAUGCAUGAAUUAACAUUUUGAAAUCAAUAAAAAAGCAACAAGUUUUAAAUUAAAAAAAAUAGUAUCUUAUUAUUGUUCAACCAUGUUUUGUAUAUUGUGUGCUUUCUUUAUGUAGUAACCUGUGCAGACCGUCUACAUUUUAGCUCCGCCGAGUUUUUCCUAUCUACUAAAUUGAUAUACAAUUGAGGUAUUUUAUUCAGUGUGAUAUGAACUUGAUCCAUGCAUUGAAGUUUGAUUUUUUUUUUACAAAUUUUGUAUUAUAUUCAUCUGGUGUCAGAAAAUGGAUCGAACUCAAUGCAUGCACAUAGAAAUGUGACAGGGGUUGAGAACUCAUUGAAGUUGGUUCGAGUGUAUGAUGCUGGCAUUUAAUUAUUUAGGUGAUUUGCAUUUAAAAUGAGUAUGGCCAUUAAAAAGUAUUAAAUGUUGAUGUGUAAAUAGAACACUGAGGCAUAUCUGGAUACACUAUCACAUUCAUAGUAUUGAUAAUUAAAGAGGAAACUACUCUCGAGGUCAAUUAUAAGAGGCUUAGAGACAUUGACUACAAUGGUUUAUUAAAUACAGGUAAUAAAGAAGACAAUGAAAAACACAUAUCGAUAAUCAAACAAAAAACUGAACAUUUUGUAAGAAAAAUUGUGUUCUUUACAUGUGUAACAAGAAACCGGUGUAGACUGGUGAUGCUCCCCAAAAGUUGUUUUUUUUGUCACAAUAUUGCACUAUAUAUUCAGAUAAAAGGAAUGUGCUUUCAA